rnacentral:rRNA from 1 species
AUUGAACGCUGGCGGCAGGCCUAACACAUGCAAGUCGAGCGGAUGAAGGGAGCUUGCUCCUGGAUUCAGCGGCGGACGGGUGAGUAAUGCCUAGGAAUCUGCCUGGUAGUGGGGGAUAACGUCCGGAAACGGGCGCUAAUACCGCAUACGUCCUGAGGGAGAAAGUGGGGGAUCUUCGGACCUCACGCUAUCAGAUGAGCCUAGGUCGGAUUAGCUAGUUGGUGGGGUAACGGCCUACCAAGGCGACGAUCCGUAACUGGUCUGAGAGGAUGAUCAGGCACACUGGAACUGAGACACGGUCCAGACUCCUACGGGAGGCAGCAGUAGGGAAGAUUGGACAUGGGGCGAAAGCCUGAUCCAGCCAUGCCGCGUGUGUGAAGAAGGUCUUCGGAUUGUAAAGCACUUUAAGUUGGGAGGAAGGGCAGUAAGUUAAUACCUUGCUGUUUUGACGUUACCAACAGAAUAAGCACCGGCUAACUUCGUG